rnacentral:lncRNA from 1 species
UUGGGGGUUACAAACGUUAGCAUUCUAUUCUAUAACGGAAGACCAUGUUGGACAAAUCAUAUUCGAAAUGGCGUGAGGCUGGAUUGCAUGUUCAAAAUGGCGUGAGGCUGGUUGCGCCGAGUCACAAUCAAGAUCCGCGGCACUGUUUCUAUACGUUUUAAGUGAAUUGAUUGCAUAUUUUUAACUAUUCGUAUUUUUGGAAUUAAUGAUUAGUACCAACGAUCCGACAUUCCAGUCUGUGGCGGGAGGCCAGAUUGGAUCGAAUCAUGUUUGAAGUGGCGUAAGGCUGAUUUGGCCGAAUCACAAUCGAGACGAUCCGACAUCCCAUUUGGUGGCGAGAGGCCAGAUUGGGUCGAGUCAUGUUUGAAGUUGCGUGAGGCUGGUUGGGCCGAGUCACAAUCGAGAUCCGCGGGGACCGUGUCUGUACGCUUUAAGUGAAUUAGUUGCAUAUUUCUAACUGUUUGAGUUUUAGAAUUAAUGGUUAACAUCAACGAUCUAACAAUUCAGACCAUUCUUUUUAAGUAUUGACGUCUUCGUCAGACUCAUGGAAAAUCAUAAGCAUCAGACGAUAUGAAACUUAUAUCAUACUUUCAACUAGUGAUUGGCUAACUAUGACGUUUCCUUCUAAGGAAGAUCACCCAUCCUAGAACUACUAAAUUUAAUCAUAGCAAGUUUAAUCCUCUUAAUCUAUUGGGUUUAUUCAUUAUCCAAAAUAUUAUAACUGGGUAAAUGAUUUAACCCUAUUGUAUUUUAUAUAUAAAACUAUUC